GGCGGCGUGCUUAACACAUGCAAGUCAAGGACCGUAGCAAUACGGGACUGGCGCACGGGUGCGGAACACGUAGGCAAUCUGCCCGGAAAGGGAGAACAACCAGCCGAAAGGUUGGCUAAAUCUCCGUAAAAUCAUAGAGUGGCAUCACUUAUUGAUCAAGUUUUUUUCCGGAUGAGCCUGCGUCUGAUUAGCUAGUUGGCGGGGUAACGGCCCACCAAGGCUACGAUCAGUAGCUGGUCUGAGAGGAUGAUCAGCCACAUUGGGACUGAGAUACGGCCCAGACUCCUACGGGAGGCAGCAGUGAGGAAUAUUGCUCAAUGGGGGAAACCCUGAANCAGCAACGCCGCGUAAAGGAUGAAAGCGCUUUGCGUUGUNNACUUUUGUA
rnacentral:rRNA from 1 species